CCUGGAGAACAUUUUGAGAGAGGUACCUGUGUUGUUGAACUUGCUUAACAUUCAGGCUGGCUUUGUUUUCGGUACCUUAGGUCGAACUAAAUGCAUGCAGUGGAUAAUGGAUGUCAUAAUGUCACUCUUUAAACAAGCUUAGGGCAUAAGUGAUGCCAUAGAAAAGCCUAAUCAGUUUGCUUCCUAUGAUGUGCUUUUUCUUGCAAUAUCGUAACAGAGUUUUUAUUCCUUUUCCAGUUCUCUACUUUGUAUACCAAGAUAUGGUGUCUGGUCCCUUGAAACUAAAAGCUUAUCUAUGUUGCUUAUUUUCAAGUGACUGACAAAUAAAGAAGGAAGAUUUUAGUGACGUGAAGAGUAUGCAAUGUAUAUGCUUACAUCUAAUCCUAAUAAUCAUGAAUGUUCUUGCUUAUGUUGUCAUGGGUACUACACUUAGUCCAAUGCUUGUAUUAUUCAUUGGUUGGUAGAAACUCAAUGGGCCUUUUCUUUUCCAAUUUCAUUGAUUAGAGUUGGUGUGGAAACUAAUUGUGUAACACCCUGAUAUCCUAUGUGAAUAAAAAUAACAUAAAAAUAACGAUAAAAAACUUUAUUAGUUGAAAUGGUUAUUAAAAGAAAUAUCUAGAGUUAGAGUUAAAAAAAGGAGAGA
rnacentral:misc_RNA from 1 species